rnacentral:tRNA from 1 species
GCGCCCAUAGUUCAAUUGGAUAGAACGUCGGAUUCCGGUUCCGAAGGUUGGAGGUUCGAAUCCUCUUGGGCGUA